UACAUGGGGUGCAAACGUUGCUCGGAAUUAUUGGGCGUAAAGCGCACGUAGGCGGUCCGUUAAGUCGGAUGUGAAAGCCCCCGGCUCAACCGGGGAAGUGCAUCCGAAACUGGCAGGCUAGAGUACGAAAGAGGGUCGCGGAAUUCCCGGUGUAGAGGUGAAAUUCGUAGAUAUCGGGAGGAACACCGGUGGCGAAGGCGGCGACCUGGGUCGAUACUGACGCUGAGGUGCGAAAGCGUGGGGGAGCAAACAGG
rnacentral:rRNA from 1 species